GACGAACGCUGGCGGCGUGCUUAACACAUGCAAGUCGAACGGAAAGGCCCUGCUUUUGUGGGGUGCUCGCGUGGCGAACGGGUGAGUAACACGUGAGUCACCUGCCCUUGACUUUGGGAUAACUUCAGGAAACUGGGGCUAAUACCGGAUAGGAGCUCCUGCUGCAUGGUGGGGGUUGGAACGUUUCGGCGGUUGGGGAUGGACUCGCGGCUUAUCAGCUUGUUGGUGGGGUAGUGGCUUACCAAGGCUUUGACGGGUAGUCGGCCUGAGAGGGUGACCGGCCACAUUGGGACUGAGAUACGGCCCAGACGCCUACGGGAGGCAGCAGUGGGGAAUAUUGCACAAUGGGCGGAAGUCUGAUGCAGCAACGCCGCGUGCGGGAUGACGGCCUUCGGGUUGUAAACCGCAUUCGCCUGUGACGAAGCGUGAGUGACGGUAAUGGGUAAAGAAGCACCGGCUAACUACGUG
rnacentral:rRNA from 1 species